AACAGAUGAAGUUCGACUACUAACACAACAUCCUGUUGCAACGUCGAACUGACCCUCCUCCUGAGGG
rnacentral:sRNA from 1 species